rnacentral:lncRNA from 1 species
GAACACACCAUCAAGGUGAACGGACUUCUUAGUGUUUGAAGGCACUACUUUAAAUCUUGCCUUAUUUGAACCACCCCAUUGAGAUAAAACCACCUGUUAUAUUGCACCUUUUUCCAAGCCAUCAACAUGGUGUUGCAAAGAUGGUGUGACGUUGUCCUUUGUACCUUAUUUCUCCAAAAUCUCUAGAGAUGUUCCCUCCAGCAAUUUAUUACCAGGCAAGAAUUCAACUUUUGGUUUUAUGUUGAGAUUGUCAUCAACCGGGGGAGGGGUAGUAUUUUG